rfam:Pygoscelis adeliae contig41762, whole genome shotgun sequence.
GACCUUGUAGCAUAAGGGCAGCACGUCUGACUCCAGAUCAGGAGGCUGUGUGGUUGAAUCACACCAGGGUAA